AUUAAAUAGCCGCUAAUAGUGCUAAGGUAGCAUAAUCAUUUGUCUUUUAAUUAAAGACUAGAAUAAAAGAUUUAACAUUUUAAUUAAUUUAUUUAAUCCUUAUUCCAAUUUUUCUUAAAUGUAAAAAGACAUUUAUAAAAAAGAAAGACGACAAGACCCUAUUGAACUUCACUCCAGUUUAACUGGGGUAGUAAAUUAAUUAUUAUUUUAAUAUAUAUAUAUUAACAAGAAUCCAACUAAUUGAUUAACAAGUUACCAUAGGGAUAACAGCGUAAUAAAAAUUUAAAGUCCUCAUUCAAAUAUAAGAUUACGACCUCGAUGUUGAAUUAAAAACCUAAUUAAAGCAAAACCUAAAAAAGGAAGUCUGUUCGACUUUUAAAAAAUUACAUGA
rnacentral:rRNA from 1 species